GACGUAGGGCGCGAGCGUUGUCCGGAUUUAUUGGGCGUAAAGAGCUCGUAGGCGGCUUGUCGCGUCGACUGUGAAAACUCGGGGCUCAACUCCGAGCUUGCAGUCGAUACGGGCAGGCUAGAGUCCGGAAGAGGAGAGUGGAAUUCCUGGUGUAGCGGUGAAAUGCGCAGAUAUCAGGAGGAACACCCGUGGCGAAAGCGGCUCUCUGGGACGGUACUGACGCUGAGACGCGAAAGCGUGGGGAGCAAACAGG
rnacentral:rRNA from 1 species